GUCAAAAUUCAAAUCGCGGGAAAUAUCUCCGAAAACGUCGGAUUGCUCCUAAAUCCCUGCGGUAAAAUCCCCGAAAUAUCCGAAGUGACCAGGAUUCCUGGAAAACGAAACUGACCUGACGGGACUAGAAAAACCUUUUUUAAAUGACAAAGGUAAUACAAGAAGGAAGGUAAAGUUGUUCGUUAUGCACUGAAAGUCAUUUAAAACAUUAGAAUAUUUCAAAGUUGGACGUCGUUGCACACAAAAUAGCAAUAAAGGCCCCUACGUCGCCGCCGCUGCGUGCCCGAAACAAUACAAACUUGAAACCUGGACCGUCGAUGAUCAAAACUCGGCCUAAUGUCGCCGAUAACGACUUCAUCGGGCCCAAUUGUUC